rnacentral:rRNA from 1 species
GCUUACGGCCACACCGCCUGGAUCACGCCCG